ensembl:lncRNA
ACACAUUUUAACAGCUAGAACCCCUUCAUGGAUGACAGCCUUGUCAUCACGAAGGGGUUUGUAUGACUCAAUGAAUCUAUGAGCCAUGCCCUGCAGGACCACCCAGGCAGACAGGUCAUAAUGGAGAGUUAUGACAAAACAUGGUCCACUGGAGAAGAGAAGAACCAACCACUCCAGUAGCCUUGCCCCGAGAAUUCCAUGAACAGUAUGAAAAGGCAGAAAGAUGUGACUCCGGGAGCAAACUUCGGGAGAUAAUGAAGGACAGGGAAGCCUGGCAAGCUGCAGUCCAUGGGGUCACAAAGAGUUGGAUACAACUUACCUACUAAACAACAACAGCUAGAAAUAGAAAGCCUAAGAAAUCUUUCAUGGAACGACAACCAAGAUGAAAAAUGUCAUCCAAGGAACCAAAGUACAUAAGUUAACUCUAAAGUGAAAUCCAAUUUCAAAACAAUAUUUUUCAUUUUACUAUAAAAUGAUCCAUUGGACUUACCUUCCUCAGAUGUUCUCAGAUUGUGUUAGGGCAACACCUUUUUCCAGGUUUCUUAGAGCAUCUGAACUUCUGUUUCGUGGAGGAGACAAAAGCAUUUCUAGACGGGGUUGAGCACAGACUCAAAGGGAGCAGGCUAAGAAAGGGAGAGGGCUCCAGGAGGUGCCCAGUCAUCUCGGAACAGUUUCCUUUCUACAAUCCCGCAGCCAAAAAUAACCCAACUCAAGGGAAACGUAGCUGCGCCAAGUACUUCAGGCUCCUCUACAUUCCAGAAUUAGCGAGCAGCAGAAGCCCCACGCUGGGAACCCGAACUGUGGGCUCUUGCACACCGGCCCUCCGAGAGGGAAAAAAGUCAAGUUGACAUGGGUCUCUUUCGCCUGGGCGAUUCAAAUGAAAAUAUAAGGAGGAGGGCGGAGAGAGGAGAUAAAACGAAGCUCGGAAAGACCGAUUCCGAAGUCUGCAAUAAAGAUUAACUGGGGGAAAAAAUUUUAAAAAGGAAGUCCAG